rnacentral:snRNA from 1 species
AUGCUCAAUUCAGCAGCACAUAGACCAAUAGAGAAACCACACAGAAAAGAUUAGCAAGGCUCCCACACAAAUAUAGCAUGCAAAUUUGUGAAGCAUUCCACGUUUCC